ensembl:lncRNA
GCGGUUCACUGACUCUGAUCUGCAAUAGUGAAGCCCACCCACCGGUGUAUAACCACUCCUGGUUUAAGAAGACUGCAACUGGAUCUGUACAGAUAGGAUCAGACAAGAAUCACAAAUUCAGUGACAUCAUGUUGGAGGACAGUGGACGUUACUACUGCGUCGCAAAGAAUGAACUUGGCGAAGAAAGCUCCAGCAUGAUGUACAUAGAAGUUACUGGCAGACUGUGGCUGAUCCUGGUUUCUGUCGGGGGGGUGCUGGGGGCUCUGGCUGCUGUGGCUCUGAUUGGUGUCAUCAUCUACAAAGUGAAGAGAUGGGCAUUUAAAGACACUGCAGAUGGAAAGGGGUCCCAACCUGAGGAUGAAGAUGGCACAUACGCAGCCCUAGACCCCAAGACCACAAGCCCUGCAGAGUAUGAUGCUCUCACUAGGGUGAAGAAACCACGCCAGGGAGACUAAAGCCAGUGGAUUCUCCUGCACAUGCUCAGCUUUCUGCACUAUCCUGAUGUGGACGACCCCUCAAGUCUGUCGCUGAAAUCAUGCAUUACAAUGUCUAUGGGUUAUUGGACACAGCCUGAGUAGAGAAUGGGAAUGGGAAUUCUGUUUGUUAUGCUAGUGUGGAGAUAUUGCAGGCAUAUAAUAAAGAUAUUAUUACAUUGGUUCAGACAUU